GCUCCCUGUAAUACCCAUGCCAGCAUAAUAGGAAAGCAUUAUAUGGAUGUGCUUAGAGGCUGCCGACUAAUUACUAUCUCGCAUGAGUAUUGCCUGGUUGUUAAUUAAAUUGUAGCCCCAGACAAUUUUUUUCUGGCAGGUUGGCCAUAAAAGUUCUGUAGAGAAGUACAGUGAAGUGCAUAGGGGCAUACCGCCCAGUCUUUAUCCUCACACCUCCACCGCUUCCUCCCUUGUAUCCAUCUCCUCCAACCUCGGAUCCUCAUCCGCCAUGCCGCCGAUGCUACGCCGUAGAUUCAGAGGCUAUGCCGACAGUGGCGGGGAAGAUUGAAUCCGGGGAAAGUCGACCCGGCAAAUCAUAUAGUCCCAAAAUCCCCGCUGAGUUAUGCUAAAACAAUUGGGGGCGGAGCGCGCGGCCAUCUACGUGGCGAUGACGGCGAGCGCCUGACAAGCCGUGGUUCCCGUAUCGUCUUCUGUCGCCCUGUUUUAGCUGAAGUUCAGGGAGAUAAUUUAUACACCUCCGACUGCUCUGUUUUUGGAGCAAUUCCUUUAAUUGUUUUCAUGCAAACCACUUCCUAUUUCUCAAUCUUGUUCUCGCAUGCGCGAGCUAAGAUGUUAUACUUCGGAUAUGUGGUCAUAGUUUGGAUAUCAGUGUGCUACCACUAAGCAUUAUUAAUUUGUUGCAGCAAAAAAUUCAUCAUUUUUGCCUCAAUCAUUCAGACGAACACACUUGCAAAGAGCAAGGACUGUAUACAGAGUUCAUGUGGAGACAUUCUUGGGUCUGCAAGCCAAAGUUAGUCUUAUAUAUGGGUUCAGAUGACGGUCUAUCAUGCUGGGUUCUGAAACAUCCGACAACAAGGUGUUGACCCGAAAGUUGAAUGGUGAGGUGUCAUACAUCUCAUGGGACAGUUUUUUUACCUUCUAGUGUCACCGCUUCGCUGAAAUCAUCCAUCAGCCACAAUUGUCAAUUCCCUGCCCGACGACAGGACUGGUUCAUCGUUGUCUAUUCCGAGGUCAUAUGAGGGAACCUCUGUGUUCAGCCCUGAAUCAGGGCCAUAAAUCCAUCGUCUACCAUCUGCUGAUUUGGCCUGAAUUGGCAUCUGUUCAUGCAAUUCAGUAUCAUUGGUUACAUCAUUUCCUUGGUUUGCUGCUGCGAUUAGUUCGUCUAGAUUCUUAAUUUUCGGGUCAGGAUCCUCCUCUGUCUCUUCGACCCUUGCUCUCUGAUGACCCACAAGUAUAGGGGAUCUAUCGUAGUCCUUUCGAUAAGUAAGAGUGUCUAACCCAACGCGGAGCAGAAGGAAAUGACAAGCGGUUUUCAGUAA